GCUCCUCGUCCGCCUCAGUGACGUUUACAACAGGUCGUUUCUGGAGAACCUGAAAGUGAACACGGAGAAUCUGCUGCAAGUUGAAAACACAGGGAAGGUGAAAGGGCUUAUUCUUACCCUUAAAGGAGAGCCUGGUGGGCAGACCCAAGCAUUUGACUUUUACUCAAGAUAUUUUGCACCGUGGGUUGGUGUGGCUGAAGACCCAGUGACAGGUACGAAGACUAAAAAUCAGGAUGAAUCCAGAAAAUUAACACAAAAAAGUAUGUAUUAGGCUACUUCCUGUCAUAGUGAAAUUAAACACUCAAAGUAAUGUAAUCUCAGCUGGGCGUGGCGGCUCAUGCCUGUAAUCCCAGCACUUUGGCAGGACAAGGCAGGAGGAUCACUUGAACCUAGGAGUUCGAGACCAGCCUGGGCAACACAGCGAGAACUUGUCUCUAUU
rnacentral:lncRNA from 1 species